GCAAAGCCUGGUGCCAUCUGCCUUCAAUACACGGCAGACUCUUCCUGAUAGCACUGCUGCAUAGCAUCCUGCAGCUGACAACCAAUCUGAGUACCAAGAGUGGAAAAAGAGGUGGCCUGGGACUGCAGCACUGAAGAUCGGCAAUACUCUAUGAGCUCUUCUGCCAACAACAGCCCUGGUUUCUCAGUGCUGCUGCUCCUGGGGAGACACACAAGCUGUUAGCCUGACUUUGGCAACCCAGUGGCUGGAGCAAAGUGCAGUGUUUCUUGGGCUGCAGCCACAUCAUGGUCUGAUUGUGGGUAGUGAUAUCCCUCUGCAGAGGCAAGGCUGCUCAUAUCAGAGGCACUGAGAUCUGUCAGGGAGGUGCUGAGCCAGCAUGGGCACCAGCUGUCUUCUCUGGUGAGAACAGUGUCCAGAGGUACACACAGAAUGCUGAGGCAGAGAAAAACAGCACAGCAAGGAGGAAGGAUGCUGUCAAAUUGCCGCAGUUCUUGCUUCCAUGAGGCCAGUUGCUCUGAGCCAGAGUCUGGAUUCAUGACCCAAAGGAUGCAUGAGGAUCCCUAUUCAGAAAAUGCAAAGGCCUGUUCCCCUUGUCACGGACGCAGACCCUUAGAUAAUACCGUGACAAGAAGAAAGACCGAGACGAAGACAUGGACCCUGUCCCAGUGGUGGGACAAGUGCUUCCCAGGAGAAAAAAUGAUGCUGUUGUUCUCUGCCAUCUUCUUCUCAGGAUGAACCUCCUCACACAGGGCUUGCUUUGCCAAGCAAAAGCGUCUCUUUGUUCGGUACUUUGACCAGCACCUUCAGCAAGGAGCAGGCACAAUUAUGCUUCUGAGCACAAGGCUGUGUAGAAGGCUAUCAGCUUUCAGCUUUCCAAAUUCUUUCAUUUACAGCUCACAAAAG
rnacentral:lncRNA from 1 species